CAGUGCGGCUGGACAGCCGACCUGGGCAGGAAAGAGAGGGAGAGGCUGAGAGGGAGAGGGAGUCACAUAGUGAAAAACCGAAAGGCCAAGAGAGGCCCCUAGAGCAAGUUUUGGAGCAAGACAGAGGAAGAGGGGACGUGUCUACAGAUUGUGCCAGACCUUUGACCCCAGCUUCCCGGGCCCUCUGUGCGGGUGGCAGCUGGGAGCCAGAACUGUGUCUGGCCAGGUGGGCAGCAGGCACCUCUGACAAAGGACAAUGGUGAUUCUUCAGCAGGGGGACUAUGUCUGGAUGGACCUGAGAUCCGGGCAGGAGUUCGAUGUGCCCAUUGGGGCGGUGGUGAAGCUCUGCGACUCUGGGCAGAUCCAGGUGGUGGACGAUGAGG